GUGGAUGCCUUGGCGAUUACAGGCGAUGAAGGACGUUGUAGCCUGCGAAAAGCUGCGGGGAGCUGGCAAACAAG
rnacentral:rRNA from 1 species